UACGUAGGUGGCGAGCGUUGUCCGGAUUUACUGGGCGUAAAGGGAGCGUAGGCGGACUUUUAAGUGAGAUGUGAAAUACCCGGGCUCAACUUGGGUGCUGCAUUUCAAACUGGAAGUCUAGAGUGCAGGAGAGGAGAAUGGAAUUCCUAGUGUAGCGGUGAAAUGCGUAGAGAUUAGGAAGAACACCAGUGGCGAAGGCGAUUCUCUGGACUGUAACUGACGCUGAGGCUCGAAAGCGUGGGGAGCAAACAGGAUUAGAUACCCCGUA
rnacentral:rRNA from 1 species